GGAGAGUUGUCCGAGUGGUUUAAGGUGCGGCUCUCGAAAAGCCGUGUGGGUUCUCCCACCGUGGGUUCGAAUCCCAUGCUCUCCG
rnacentral:tRNA from 1 species